CGCUUGAGUUUGGCCCCCGUUUUCACGCCUGCCCCUUUUCCCCCUUCCCUUCCAGACGCACACACCCCAGCUUCCUUCCCCUCGCCCAGCACUCAGCUGCUCCCGUUUCCCUCUCCCAACUCACUGACGCUUUCCCGUGGUUCCCACCCGCCUCAGUUCCAAUUUCUCAAAAGACUCAGCUGUGUAAGGACACCUGGGUUCUGCUCUCCCUACCCUACACCCAUUUGCUGGAUGCUGUCAGACGGCGAUGGAAAAAAGGAAGACUGCGUUAAUUUUACUCUAGCUGGAGUACAAAAGGACUGCCCACGCUAGCUAUUUUACUACGCAGCUUUGAAACUCCUGGAUGGUGUCGUGUUUGGCUCCAGUCCAUUACUGGACCGAGGAGUUGAAGAGCCCAGUCUCAAAUGUUGCCUUCCCUCACUGAUCUUGAGCAGCACUGCAAUCUACAGGAGCUUGUGAAUUUCCUCUACUGAAAAUGAAGCAAAGGGGACGUGCUGAUGGCUUCUUUUUAUUACUUUGCCUUUCGCAAGUUGAACCCAUUUGCAAGGAUCCACACAAGUUGGCCCAAGGUUUCUGCUUCUUAAGGAUACUAGCUAUAUUAAAAAAAAAAAAAAAAAAAAAAAAAAAGGCACUUUACCCUUUCAGAAUAAGAGGAUUAGAUGUGUUCAAAGGCCAAAUAGGGAGAAAUGUUUCCAAAUGUAGUUUUAGUAAACUAAAACUCAAAGUGAGUAAUUUUUUAAAGUUUAAAUCUAAAUACUGUUAUUAUGAAAAUAUGUUUUAAAGUUCUCUGAAGACAGCAUGUUCAACUAAAAAUGUUAGUAUGCUUUGAGGAUCAUGGAGAUGGGAUUCUAUUUCUUUGACCAUCACACAGUAACGUGUACCCAGUUAGGUUCCAGAUUUCAGCUGCCAUCUUUCAAACCAGUCAUUCUACUAGAAAUGAACAACCUGCAUCAGCAUCUAAAACUUUCAAACCCACAUAUGUCUUUGAGACGACUUUGCAUAAUACAUUUUGGAAUAAAUUAUUGAAAACAAA